GUCGUCAGCUCGUGUCGUGAGAUGUUGGUAAGUCCCGCAACGAGCGCAACCCCUAUUGUUAGUUGCCAUCAUUCAGUUGGGCACUCUAGCGAGACUGCCGGUAAUAAACCGGAGGAAGGUGGGGAUGACGUCAAAUCAUCAUGCCCCUUAUGACCUGGGCUACACACGUGCUACAAUGGUUGGUACAACGAGUUGCGAGUCGGUGACGGCGAGCUAAUCUCUUAAAGCCAAUCUCAGUUCGGAUUGUAGGCUGCAACUCGCCUACAUGAAGUCGGAAUCGCUAGUAAUCGCGGAUCAGCACGCCGCGGUCGAAUACGUUCCCGGGCCUU
rnacentral:rRNA from 1 species